UCAUAAAGUGCGUCGUAGUCCGGAUUGGAGUCUGCAACUCGACUCCAUGAAGUCGGAAUCGCUAGUAAUCGUGGAUCAGAAUGCCACGGUGAAUACGUUCCCGGGCCUUGUACACACCGCCCGUCACACCAUGGGAGUGGGUUGCAAAAGAAGUAGGUAGCUUAACCUUCGGGAAGGCGCUUACCACUUUGUGAUUCAUGACUGGGGUGAAGUCGUAACAAGGUAACCGUAGGGGAACCUGCGGUUGGAUCACCUCCUUA
rnacentral:rRNA from 1 species